GGGAAGCUAUAGUCUCAUAGGGGCUGUCAGGGAAGGGCAGGAGGGGCAGGGAGACCUCUGAUUUCUCCUCACCUCCCCUUUUCACUCAACGCUUGGGCAGCCCGCCCCACUGGAGUGGUCGCCCUGCACAUCUCUGGAGUCCUCAUUCUCUGAUGGCUAGAGGGACCUGGGUGUCCUGAAGUUGGCCCUGAGAUGUAGCCGUAGGUCAAGAACAAGCUGGUUGCUGUCAGCCUCUCCUUCUUGCUCCCUUCCCCAUGCCCCUGCUCACCCAGGGUCCCUGGAUGACUAGUUUGGGCACUGACCCAACCACAGCUUUUCUCCCAGUGAAAAGGGAUGGGAGGCUUCCUGCCACAGGAGCCCAUGACACUUUGAUGUGCCCUGGGGUCAUGAAAAUGGGCAAAGUUUGCUUCUUUUAGAUUUCCUAGAUCCUUGUCUGUCCAUUUGAUCUUGGGAUAUACAGCACAAGAGCAGCCUAUUAGAAAGCUAUUUAUCAAAGAGAAGACAUGCAAGAGAAGAAACAUCUGCCUCCAUAAAUUGAUUUCUUCCGAUCUGGUCUGCUUAAGGUAAAAAACUCGCCCUGGGACCUCAUCCCUGACCUCCACCAGGUGGAUUUGAGAGAAGGAAACCUCAGGGCCAGCAAUCCCUCACCUCUUUCCACAAGAAUCUGCCAGGAAGAGAAAUAUCCAAAGUUCAUUUUGAGCCCUCAGCCUGGGAUUUAUGUGUGAUUUGUCAUGGACAUUAGGCAAUUUUUGGCACACAGACUGGAAGAAGAACAGAGCGAGGGAAGGCUCUGCCUGCCCAUCGAGAUUGUCCUCUCUGCAGCAGUCACUGUUGGAGACAUCUCUGGUUUGCACUCCCAGAUCAGUUGCACAGAAAAGGGAUCUAGUAGCUUCUCCCUAGUCACCCCUAUUCUGAGAAAACUGGAAAAAAUGGGUAAUAGUUAUAAGUACUUGGGGACUCUAGGGUAUGUCCCCAAUAAAUCUAUAAAGAGGGGCUGUCAUUCUCUGAGAUUUAACCCUAGAAAUCAUCGAAAGGAGAUGAAAUAGUUCGCAGGACCACACAACUAACAUACAACCUGUUUGACAUUUUAUUUGACAAUUCUAAGGAAUGAUUUGACGACAAAGGGGGAAGGUUAUUUGGCCAUAGAAGCACGAUAAAUAAAAGGUCUCAGAGGCAAAC
ensembl:lncRNA